GAUGAACGCUGGCGGCGUGCCUAAUACAUGCAAGUAGAACGCUGAAGGAGGAGCUUGCUCUUCUGGAUGAGUUGCGAACGGGUGAGUAACGCGUAGGUAACCUGCCUGGUAGCGGGGGAUAACUAUUGGAAACGAUAGCUAAUACCGCAUGACAACAGUUAUUGCAUGAUAACUGUUUAAAAGGGGCAACUGCUCCACUACCAGAUGGACCUGCGUUGUAUUAGCUAGUUGAUGAGGUAACGGCUCACCAAGGCGACGAUACAUAGCCGACCUGAGAGGGUGAUCGGCCACACUGGGACUGAGACACGGCCCAGACUCCUACGGGAGGCAGCAGUAGGGAAUCUUCGGCAAUGGACGGAAGUCUGACCGAGCAACGCCGCGUGAGUGAAGAAGGUUUUCGGAUCGUAAAGCUCUGUUGUAAGAGAAGAACGAGUGUGAGAGUGGAAAGUUCACACUGUGACGGUAUCUUACCAGAAAGGGACGGCUAACUACGUG
rnacentral:rRNA from 1 species